rnacentral:rRNA from 1 species
UACGGUAGGGUGCAAGCGUUAAUCGGAAUUACUGGGCGUAAAGCGUGCGCAGGCGGUGAUGUAAGACAGUUGUGAAAUCCCCGGGCUCAACCUGGGAACUGCAUCUGUGACUGCAUCGCUGGAGUGCGGCAGAGGGGGAUGGAAUUCCGCGUGUAGCAGUGAAAUGCGUAGAUAUCUGGAGGAACACCGGUGGCGAAGGCGGCAUCCUGGACCAAUUCUGACGCUGAGUGAGCGAAAGCCAGGGGAGCAAACGGGG